rnacentral:rRNA from 1 species
UACGUAGGGUGCGAGCGUUAAUCGGAAUUACUGGGCGUAAAGCGUGCGCAGGCGGUUUUGUAAGCCAGAUGUGAAAGCCCCCGGGCUUAACCUGGGAAUGGCAUUUGGGACUGCACGGCUAGAGUGUGUCAGAGGGGGGUAGAAUUCCACGUGUAGCAGUGAAAUGCGUAGAUAUGUGGAGGAAUACCGAUGGCGAAGGCA